GGGAUUGGAAAGCACAGCAGAGUGGGGACAGCAAAGCAGAGGGGACAGCACAGCACAGAGAGGGGACAGCAGAGCAGAGAGGGGACAGCAACGCAGAGAGAGGGGUCAGCACAGCACAGAAAGGGGGACAGCAGAGCAGAGAGGGGACUGCAUGGAUAGGGGACAGCACAGCAGAGAGGGGACAGCACAGCACAGAGAGGGGACAGCACAGUAGAGUGGGGACAGUGCAGGGAUGGGACAGUGGGGAGAAGGGACAAUGCAGAGGUGGGACGACACAGAGAGGGGACAGCACAGCAAUGGGACAGCACAGCAGUGGGACAGCACAGCAGUGGGACAGCACAGGGAUUGGAAAGCACAGCAGAGUGGGGACAGCAAAGCAAAUAGAGGGGACAGCACUGCACAGAGAGAGGACAGCAGAGCAGAGAGGGGACAGCACAGCACAGCACAGAGAGGGGACAGCAGAGCAGAGAGGGGACAGCAGAGCAAUGGGACAGCACAGCAAUGGGACAGCAAAGCUGAGAGAGGGGACAGCAGAGCAGAGAGAGGGGGACAGCAGAGCAGAGAGAGGGGACAGCAGCAGCAAUGGGACAGGACAGGGACUGGAAAGCACAGCAGAGAGGAGACAGCAAAGCAGAGAGGGGACAGCACAGCAGAGAGAGGGGACAGAAGAGUGGGGACAGUGCAGGGAUGGGACAGUGGGGAGAGGGGACAAUGCAGAGGUGGGACGACACAGAGAGGGGACAGCACAGCAAUGGGACAGCACAGCAGUGGGACAGCACAGCAGUGGGACAGCACAGGGAUUGGAAAGCACAGCAGAGUGGGGACAGCAAAGCAAAUAGAGGGGACAGCACUGCACAGAGAGAGGACAGCAGAGCAGAGAGGGGACAGCACAGCACAGCACAGAGAGGGGACAGCAGAGCAGAGAGGGGACAGCAGAGCAAUGGGACAGCACAGCAAUGGGACAGCAAAGCUGAGAGAGGGGACAGCAGAGCAGAGAGAGGGGGACAGCAGAGCAGAGAGAGGGGACAGCAGCAGCAAUGGGACAGGACAGGGACUGGAAAGCACAGCAGAGAGGAGACAGCAAAGCAGAGAGGGGACAGCACAGCAGAGAGAGGGGACAGAAGAGUGGGGACAGUGCAGGGAUGGGACAGUGGGGAGAGGGGACAAUGCAGAGGUGGGACGACACAGAGAGGGGACAGCACAGCAAUGGGACAGCACAGCAAUGGGACAGCACAGGGACUGGAAAGCACAGCAGAGCGGGGACAGCAAAGCAGAGAGAGGGGACAGCACAGCAAUGGGACAGCAAAGCAGAGAGAGGGGACAGUGCAGGGAUGGGACAGCACAGGGAUGGGACAGGGGGGAGAGGGGACAGCACAGGGAUGGGACAACAGAGAGGGGACAGCACAGAGAGGGGGGACAGCACAGCACAGAGAUGGGACUGCACAGAGAGGGGACAGCACAGCACAGAGGGCACAGCACAGAGCUGCCCCCACCCAAGCAGUGGAUGUGGCCCAUCUCCAUUUCAGUACAGCAUUUGGCACCGCCUCCCACUGCGUUCCCACAGCUGAACUGAGGGGGUGACGCGGAGGGGGGACGGGACGGGGAGGGGACAGUGCAGGGAGGGGGGGAGGGAGCAGAGAGGGGAGGACACGGAGGUGGGAUGGACAACGCGGGGAUGGGACGAUGCUGCAGGGAGGGGAUGGUGGAGAGAGGAGACAGCGCAGGGAACAGAGAGUGUGGCCGUGGAAUCAGAGUCCUACAAUGGGCUGGGUUGGAAAGGGCCACAGUGAUCAUGCAGUUCCAACUGGAAGGGUCCUUCCAGAUCACAGAGACAUCGAAUGGUUGGGUUGGAAGGGUCCUUACAGGUCACAGAGCCAUGCAAUUGUUGGGUUGGGUUGGAAGGGUCCUUAAAGAUCACAGAGGCAUGGAAUGGUUGGGUUGGAAGGGUCCUUACAGGUCACAGAGCAAUGGAAGGGUUGGGUUGGGUUGGAUGGGUCCUUCCAGAUCACAGGGCCAUGGAACUGUUGGGUUGGAAGUGUCCUUACAGAUCACAGAGCCAUGGAAUGGUUAGGUUGGGUUGGAAGGGUCCUUGAAGAUCAUAAAGUCAUGGAAUGAUUAGGUUUGAAGGGUCCUUACAGGUCACAGAGACAUGGAAAGGUUGUGUUGGAAGGAUCGUUGAAGAUCACAGAGUCAUGGAACGGCUGGUUUGGGUUGGAAGGAUCCUUGAAGAUCAGACAACCACAGAAUGGUUGGGUUGAAAGGGUCCUUACAGGUCACAGAGCCAUGGAAUGGUUGGGUUGGGUUGGAUGGGUCAUUAUAGAUCACAGGGCCGUGGAAUUGUUGGGUUGGGUUGGAAGGGUCCUUCAAGAUCACAGAGCCAUGGAAUGGUUGGGUUGGGUUUAUACGCUCCCUUUAGGUCCUGGAAGGCCACAAUGAGGUCUCCCCGCAGCCUUCUUUUUCCAAGCUGAACAAGCCCAGUUCCCUCAACAUUUCCCCAUAGGAGAGCUGCUCCAGCUCUCCAGCUCUAGCUGAUGGUGAUUAAGCUUGCUGAUGGCACACAGCUGGGAGCAGAGGGCCGUGCUGCCAUCCAUUGAGCCCUGGGCAGGGAGAAACGGGAUGGAACACAACAACUGCAGCGUGGAGUAUUGCAUGUGGGCAUGGAGAAGGCCAUGGGCAAGUACAGGUUGGGGACAGAGCAGAAUAAAGGGACCUGGGGGGUCCUGGUGGGCAGCAGGAGGACCAUGAGACAGCAGUGUGCUUUGGUGGCCAAGAAGGCCAAUGGUGGCCUGUACAGGAGGAUCAUGAGCCAACACUGGGCUUUGGUGGCCAAGGUCGAUGGUGGCCUGGGCAGGAGGAGGACCAUGAGCCAGGAGUGUGCUUUGGUGGCCAAGAAGGCCAAUGGUGGCCUGGGAAGGAGGAGAACCACAAGGCAGCACUGUGCUUUGGUGGCCAAGAAGGCCAAUGGAGGCCUGAACAGGAGGACCACGAGCCAACACUGUGCUUUGGUGGCCAAGAAGGCCAAUGGUGGUCUGGGCAGGAGGAGGACCACGAGACAGCAGUGUGCUUUGGUGGCCAAGAAGACCAACGGUGGCCUGGGCAGGAGGAGGACCACAAGCCAACACUGUGCUUUGGUGGCCAAGAAGGCCAAUGGUGGCCUGGGCAGGAGGAGGACUAUGAGCCAGCAGUGUGCUUUGGUGGCCAAGAAGGCCAAUGGUGGCCUGGGCAGGAGGGGGACUAUGAGCCAGCAGUGUGCUUUGGUGGCCAAGAAGGUCAAUGGUGGCCUGAACAGGAGGACCACGAGCCAACACUGUACUUUGGUGGCCAAGAAGGUCGAUGGUGGCCAAGGCAAGAGGACCAUGAGCCAGCAGUGUGCUUUGGUGGCCAAGAAGGCCAAUGGUGGCCUGGAAGGAGGAGGACCACAAGUCAGGAGUGUGCUUUGGUGGCCAAGAAGACCAACAGUGGUCUGGGAAG
ensembl:lncRNA